AUAAUAUAUAACAAAAGAAAAUUUGGAUAACAUGUAUGUUUGGAUAAAUUAUAUAUAAUUUAUUUUUAAAAUUUGUAAAAUCAAAUAAAAAAGAGAAUGAUUGCAAAAAUCUUCAUUUUUAGUUCACAAUAUUGAACCACAAACGGUUCGUGAAUAUUAAAUAAUAUUUAAAUAAGUUUUACGUUACAUUGAAUUUAUAAGGUUGAAUAUGAACAAAGACACAGUUCAUCUGUAUCAAACAUUGCGACCGCUGCAUUUUCACUAUCUACUCAUAGCCAAAAUCUUGUAUUUACUUCAUUAUUUACUAGCAUCUCGAAACUCGUUUCCCAUAUUUGUUGUUUGAAACCAACAAAAUAUUGUGUAAAAUAAAUUAUACAUGUAUACGUAUAGGUUAGGAGAAUUUUUUUGAUUAAUAUAUUAUUGAUUUGAUGUUUGUUUGCUAAAGUAUGAGGUAUUAAAUAAGGGUGAGAAUCCUUUCAGUAUGAGAUAAUACAUGGAAUUAUUAGGAAACAAGGAAGUAUAUAGAGAAAAAAAAAAUGCAUUAUUGAUAAUCAAAGAAUAAAUCUCAAAUCUCACAUAUUAUGACACAAAAACUUAGAAAUUUGAAAGGAAUGUUACGAAAGAAAGAACUAGAAAUUUUUUCUAAUUCUUCUUACAAACCACCAGAGGUAAUAUUCUUUGCAAAGAUUCUUAAAGGAUCCAAAUCUGAUGUAACACAUCAUCGCGCAAGGAGGCGUUUGAAUACCCAACACUCAGGGUACGAAAAAGUUGCGCCGUAAGUGUUAUUUAAAAUAAUUCCAUUUUUCUUUAUUUUUUCUCGCAACUCCUCACACAUGUCACGUGUUUCUUCUAAUUUCAAUGCAUAAUGGUUGCUUGCAAAAAGCCGAAGGUACAGACCACCCAUAUGAGUAUUACCGUCAUAUAUGCAAAGAACUGCACAGGCCAGGGUUGCAUCGACGUGCCUUGAUACAUUUCGGUGUAAAAGUAAAAUAGUGUCUAGAUGCAGUCCUUCAUGGUAAAUAACAAUCAGGUAACCAGCCUCCAGACACCUUUCGAAAAAGGGUCUAUAUCGACCUUCGAAGUAGAUGUUGUUUGGAUCAUGGUCUGCUGAAACAACCCAACCCAUUUUUUUAAAAUAUAAUUAAAUAUUCCAAUAAAUAUCUAAUUAAACCAACCAAUAAAAUAACAAUUAAACCGCAAGUCAAAAAUAAUAUUUUAUGAAUCAAUAAAUAAUUCGACCAACAAAACCAAGAAUAACUAACAAUCCUAACCGGGUCCAAUAACCAAAAACACCAAAAAUAAAACAAACGAGUUCCUAGAUCAUCCUCUCUUCCUUGCCAUGAUUCAAGGAUCACACUUUAUCUUUACUUGCAUCAACAACACAAUGAGAUGCGUAAGUAUUAUCAUAAAUACUUAGUGAGCCGAUCCUCCCAUCUACGAGCUAUACACACAAGCAAAUAAAAGGGUAUAAUCACAAACACAAUACAAACAAACCAGUCAUUGAACAAUUCACCCAAAACACAUUCACCACACCUACAUAUCAUCACACAAAACAAAUCACACAACCCAAUCGCUCAGAUAAGCUCAUGGUCACGCACUCACCUUAACAAAUUGAUUCUAAUAACAAUUAAACUCGGGAGAGACUCUCCUUGCGUCUGAAACAGUCCAGAAACGUCCUACAACAAGUCACAACCAAAAGCAACCUUGAAACAAACUGGACAAGAAAAACAGAAACAAACAACCUCAAAGACGAAACCCUAAAAUACAAAGUAACUGUUAACUAUUCAAUAGCUCCAGUCAAACGUUAGCCCUAGACGUCACGACGCUUCCCACAAAAUAUCGUCCUGAUCAGAAAACAGACGAGACCACGAUCUCAAUUUCAAUCCCCGCUGGUCCUAAUUCGCGUCUGAGAAAACGUGUCUCACGAAACUGCGAAUAACUCAACCAAUUGUAAUCCAAAUCAAGUUCUGUAAACUGGAGAAUAACAAUAAACGACUUGGAAAUAACUCUACCUAAUUUUGUUACCUUUGACCACGAUUUGAUAUGACGAAACGGAUUUCUCCCAAAUCCUAACGAUUCUGCUCCUUCUCCUUCUCUCUCUUUUUUUCCUUUAUAAAACGAAAAGUGGCUAACUAAAGCCCUAAUUUCGAGUUUCCUUCUUUUAUACGCACACUCUAGGGUUUCCAAUUAACCCAACCAAUUAAACCGGACGAUUUAAAAACAAACCCUAACCGAUUUUCCGGUUCACGGGCGUUACAAUUCUCCCCCACUAACAUAGAUUCGUCCACGAAUCUAGCUUCACCCUUCCACUCCGAGGGACUCCGUGCAACCAUCACUACGGUCCGCACUCCCUCCAACCAGACCCCCUCUAGGUCUCUUUAUCCAGUCGAUAUACUCACGAUUUACUAGUCAUUGUUGCUCACAACUCACUCUCCACUCUCAGACCGCAAUCUUUGAGCAUAAACCGUCACUCUCUGGCCUUGGCUACGGUAUCUCGGGUAUCACACAUAUUAUCUUCCCCACUCAAAGUCAAACUUUGAGUUGUGUCGUCUUACUCUCAGCCACAAAGUCAUCAAGUUACGACACUUGGAGAAAACAAUACCACAAAACUCGCUCUCGGGUCGCCACCCUAAAGCGUGUUCUCGGAUCGUAACCCUGAAGCGUGCUCUCGGAUCGUCACCCGAAGCCACCGUACCCCUCGCACUCUAAAUACAUCAAGUCCCUCGAGUUACCGGUACCUCAGGAGCAUACCCAGCUCCUCACGAGUCGUUGGGACCCUCAUGUCCCUCGAGCAAACAAUACUAAAUGCUUCCGAGCAAAUCUCCAGACUCUCUCAUGGAUUCGCGUAAGACAUCUUUAUGCCUCACCAUCCAUCAUAUCCCCUCGAGAACAUCCUUAUGACCAACUCCCGGCCAUCUCGUAAACACACCUUUCUCUUAGGUUGUUUACUCAAACUUUCCAAAAAUAGACAAGUCCUUUUUGGGAAACUUUCCAUUUUUGGAAAUUGCACAACACAUUCUUAAAUAAGACAACUCAAGUCAAAACCAAGA
rnacentral:sRNA from 1 species